UACGUAGGGUGCAAGCGUUAAUCGGAAUUACUGGGCGUAAAGCGUGCGCAGGCGGUUGUGUAAGACAGAUGUGAAAUCCCCGGGCUCAACCUGGGAACUGCAUUUGUGACUGCACAGCUGGAGUGCGGCAGAGGGGGAUGGAAUUCCGCGUGUAGCAGUGAAAUGCGCAGAUAUGCGGAGGAACACCGAUGGCGAAGGCAAUCCCCUGGGCCUGCACUGACGCUCAUGCACGAAAGCGUGGGGAGCAAACAGG
rnacentral:rRNA from 1 species